GACGAACGCUGCCUGCGUGCUUAACACAUGCAAGUCGAACGGAAAGGCCCUGCUUUUGUGGGGUGCUCGAGUGGCGAACGGGUAAGUAACACGUGAGUAACCUGCCCUUGACUUUGGGAUAACUUCAGGAAACUGGGGCUAAUACCGGAUAGGAGCUCCUGCUGCAUGGUGGGGGUUGGAAAGUUUCGGCGGUUGGGGAUGGACUCGCGGCUUAUCAGCUUGUUGGUGGGGUAGUGGCUUACCAAGGCUUUGACGGGUAGCCGGCCUGAGAGGGUGACCGGCCACAUUGGGACUGAGAUACGGCCCAGACUCCUACGGGAGGCAGCAGUGGGGAAUAUUGCACAAUGGGCGGAAGCCUGAUGCAGCAACGCCGCGUGCGGGAUGACGGCCUUCGGGUUGUAAACCGCUUUCGCCUGUGACGAAGCGUGAGUGACGGUAAUGGGUAAAGAAGCACCGGCUAACUACGUGCCAGCAGCCGCGGUGAUACGUAGGGUGCGAGCGUUGUCCGGAUUUAUUGGGCGUAAAGGGCUCGUAGGUGGUUGAUCGCGUCGGAAGUGUAAUCUUGGGGCUUAACCCUGAGCGUGCUUUCGAUACGGGUUGACUUGAGGAAGGUAGGGGAGAAUGGAAUUCCUGGUGGAGCGGUGGAAUGCGCAGAUAUCAGGAGGAACACCAGUGGCGAAGGCGGUUCUCUGGGCCUUUCCUGACGCUGAGGAGCGAAAGCGUGGGGAGCGAACAGGCUUAGAUACCCUGGUAGUCCACGCUGUAAACGGUGGGUACUAGGUGUGGGGUCCAUUCCACGGGUUCCGUGCCGUAGCUAACGCUUUAAGUACCCCGCCUGGGGAGUACGGCCGCAAGGCUAAAACUCAAAGGAAUUGACGGGGCCCCGCACAAGCGGCGGAGCAUGCGGAUUAAUUCGAUGCAACGCGUAGAACCUUACCUGGGUUUGACAUGGAUCGGGAGUGCUCAGAGAUGGGUGUGCCUCUUUUGGGGUCGGUUCACAGGUGGUGCAUGCCUGUCGUCAGCUCGUGUCGUGAGAUGUUGGGUUAAGUCCCGCAACGAGCGCAACCCUUGUUCACUGUUGCCAGCACGUUAUGGUGGGGACUCAGUGGAGACCGCCGGGGUCAACUCGGAGGAAGGUGGGGAUGACGUCAAGUCAUCAUGCCCCUUAUGUCCAGGGCUUCACGCAUGCUACAAUGGCUGGUACAGAGAGUGGCGAGCCUGUGAGGGUGAGCGAAUCUCGGAAAGCCGGUCUCAGUUCGGAUUGGGGUCUGCAACUCGACCUCAUGAAGUCGGAGUCGCUAGUAAUCGCAGAUCAGCAACGCUGCGGUGAAUACGUUCCCGGG
rnacentral:rRNA from 1 species